AAUUGGACGCUGCGGCUCGGUGUGGUUGGUGGCUGUCUCGUCUGGAAGGGACCCGCAGGAGCACGAUGCCGUUUCUGGGUCAGGACUGGAGGUCCCCUGGAUGGAGCUGGAUUAAAACCGAGGAUGGGUGGAAAAGGUGUGACCCCUGUAGCCACGAGCUCAGGAGCGAGGAUAGCCAGUACACCAUCAACCACAGCAUUAUCUUAAAUAGUGGUGAAGAAGAAAUAUUCAACAAUGAGUGUGAAUACGCAGCC
rnacentral:lncRNA from 1 species